AUGAUUCCUUCCACUGUGAGAUUCAUUGAACUGCUCCAAAUCUUCAGCCAACUCUGUUUUUGUUCUUCACAACACAAACAAAACAGGUGGCAGUCUUCCACGGCCAUGGGGAACGACGGCGACGGGUGGAGGCGAUUUGGGAGUAGCGGGAGCGGGAGGAAGGCAGGGUGCAGCGGCGGGGUGGGAUGUAGUGGUGCUCAUGGUGGAGUGAGGCGACGACCUCAGCGUUCGUUGACGCGGCGCCGGAGCCCGUCAAGGAUCCAGGGGAGGGGAUGGUGCAGGGAUGCGUGGAGCCGGGAAAGGGAGCGCUCGCGUCGCCAAGGCGGAGGACGUCGCCGAGAUCCGGUCAGAUUCGACCAGAAGUUCAGGGCGCGGCUCUCCGGGGGCCCGGGGCUCGGCGCACAAAAGGAGCUAGGUGGCAAGGGGCAGCGACGAGCGGGAGGAUCGAGUAGAGCUCAUCGGAGGUAG
rnacentral:rRNA from 1 species